AUACGGAGGAUGCGAGCGUUAUCCGGAUUUAUUGGGUUUAAAGGGAGCGUAGGUGGGAUAUUAAGUCAGCUGUGAAAGUUUGGGGCUCAACCUUAAAACUGCAGUUGAUACUGGUCGUCUUGAGUGCAGUAGAGGUAGGCGGAAUUCGUGGUGUAGCGGUGAAAUGCUUAGAUAUCACGAAGAACUCCGAUUGCGAAGGCAGCUUACUGGACUGUAACUGACGCUGAUGCUCGAAAGUGUGGGUAUCAAACAGGAUUAGAUACCCUGGUAGUCCACACAGUAAACGAUGAAUACUCGCUGUUUGCGAUAUACGGCAAGCGGCCAAGCGAAAGCAUUAAGUAUUCCACCUGGGGAGUACGCCGGCAACGGUGAAACUUAAAGGAAUUGACGGGG
rnacentral:rRNA from 1 species